ACCCAAAUAGCUCAGUUGGUAGAGCGUUAGAUUAUAGAUCGAAAGGUCCAUAGUUCGAUCCUGGGAUUCGGCA
rnacentral:tRNA from 1 species